AGGCCCCCCCUCGUUCGCAGCCCGGCCUUCCCACCACGCGAACCGCGAGCACGACGCCGGCGACGAGGACCGACGCCGAGCGCCGCCGCCGAACCCAACCGACGAGCCGGCGGAGAUGCUGCUGGAGGAGCUGCUCCGCUGCCAGAUCCAGGAGUGGUACCCGGCGUUCCGGCGCCACACGGUCCCCACCGCCAUCAUCCCGCUCCCGGCCGCCUUCCUCCGCUACCUCGCCGGCCGGACCGCCUACCCCGGCCCCGACGGCCCCGACGAGGGCGAGCAGGGGCCGCUCCCCUUCGUGCCCCCGACGCUCACCUCCGGCCGCGCGCCCUUCCCGCCGCUCCAGGGCCACUUCCCGGACCCCGUCUCCCUCCUCGAUCGCGACAACACCGACCCCCUCUUCGGCGGCUCCGGCUCCGACUCCGACGAUGACGAGGGCCUGCCCCCGCCCGCGUUCCCGGAGCUCGAGGCCGCGGUGGACGCCGCCAUCGCCGGCCUCGGCGGCGCCGCGCUCCCCAAGCUCAACUGGAGCGCGCCCAAGGACGCCGUCUUCAUGGCCGCCGACGGCACCGUCCGCUGCACCUGCUUCGCCGAGGUCGCCAUGCUGCUCCGCGCCUCCGACUGCGUCGCCCACGACCUCGUCUCCGCGCGCCGCUCCUGCCACGACUUCCUGCGCGCCAAGCCUGUUCGACGGAAUGCCGCAGAGGGCGGUCUGAGUGAUCCUGGUGAGAAUUGCAGCGAUGGAGGUGCCCGUGGCGGUGGGAGUGGUGCGCCGGAAGAGGAUGCCGAACAAGAAAGCAGUGAUGAUGAUGAGACUUGGGUCGACGAUGGGUUCCAGUACUACCUCGCGCUCCGCAAGUGGUACCCAGGCCUCCGCCCCGAGUCGGAGUUCCGCUGCUUUGUGCGGGGGCGGAAGCUGGUCGGCGUGUCGCAGAGGGACCCGUCUGCCUACUACCCUUCGCUGCCUGGGUGGAGCGCUGAGGUGCAGCCUAAGAUCGAGGAUUUCUUCGAAGAAUUCAUCGAGCCACAGUUCGCUUCAGAGAAUUAUACGUUUGAUGUGUAUGUGAGAGCCGAUGGCCGGGUGAAGCUGAUCGACUUCAAUCCUUGGGGUGGCUAUACCCUGCCGCUGCUGUUCACAUGGGAGGAGCUUGAGGAGGAGCAGAGAGGGGAGGACGAGCUGGAGUUUCGAGUGGUGAUGCAGCAGGGUGCAGUGAGGCCAGGGUUAAUGACAGCAAUUCCGUAUGAUAUGCUGGAUUGGGGGGAUGGCAGUGGGUGGGAUGUGUUUCUGAAGAAGGCUGGCAAUGAGCUCGACAGACAGAUGGCAUCAUUAGGUGUGGAUUCGUAGUCGUGCCCUGCUCUACAACAAGGUGCUUGAGGACUCCAGUAGGUGAACAAGUGAAGUGAUGGCUCUUGGGUGAAAGAAGCGUUACUAGAAAUGCUAUCUUGGAGCUGAGGGUGCAAUGUCUCAGCAAUGCCUGAAAUCCUGAUUCGUAUCAAUGACUUGCAUAAUGCACUGAAUUUCCUGCCCCAUAACUGAAGAAUUCCAGAGCUCGUCCGUAGGAUAUGAUGAGCUGUAUCCUGCAGUACCUGGGGUGCGUGACAAGUGCAUGCUGGGACCUGAACCAGAGGGGUACCUAGAUAAAAGUAACUGCGAAGCAACAUACUUGGAGACGCGUUUUGAUGGCUCCAUGAGGUAAGAGACUCUAGUCUAUACAAAUAAC